rnacentral:rRNA from 1 species
UAUAUAAACUCUAGAUUUUCGGAGAGUUUGAUCCUGGCUCAGAGUGAACGCUGGCGGCGUGGAUUAGGCAUGCAAGUCGAGCGAUGAAUUUUUGAGGGGACUGUCCCCGUAAGGGGACUGUCCCUGAAAAAAUCCAUAGCGGCAGACUGGUGCGUAACGCGUGAGUAAUCUACCUCUAAAUCGGGGAUAGCUUCGCGAAAGUGGAGGUAAUACCCGAUGUGUCUUUUGAUGCAUAAGCGUUAAAAGGUAAAGGUGGCUCAGUAAUGAGCUGCUGUUUAGAGAUGAGCUCGCGUCCUAUCAGCUAGUUGGUAGGGUAAUGGCCUACCAAGGCUAUUGACGGGUAGCUGGCCUGAGAGGGUGGUCAGCCACAUGGGGACUGAGACACUGCCCCAACUCCUACGGGAGGCUGCAGUCGAGAAUCUUUAGCAAUGGGCGAAAGCCUGACUAUGCGACGCCGCGUGAGGGAUGAAGGUUUUCGAAUCGUAAACCUCUUUCAAUGGGGAAGAAAUCUUUUGCAAGAAUACGGCAAAGGAGUGACGGUACCCAGAGAAGAAGCCACGGCCAACUCCGUGCCAGCAGCCGCGGUAAUACGGGGGUGGCGAGCGUUACUCGGAUUUAUUGGGUGUAAAGGACAGGUAGGCGGCUAUGCAAGUUGAGGGUGAAAUCCUUUGGCUCAACCAAAGAACUGCCUUCAAAACUGCAUGGCUUGAGGCUGGGAGAGGAGAACGGAAUUCCCGGUGUAAGGGUGAAAUCUGUAGAUAUCGGGAGGAACACCUGUGGCGAAAGCGGUUCUCUGGUCCAGCUCUGACGCUGAACUGUGAAAGCUAGGGGAGCAAACAGGAUUAGAUACCCUGGUAGUCCUAGCCGUAAACGAUGAGCACUAGGUGUUGGGGGGCAACCUUCAGCGCCGCAAGACAACUCGUUAAGUGCUCCACCUGGGGACUACGGCCGCAAGGCUAAAACUCAAAGGAAUUGACGGGGGCCCGCACAAGCGGUGGAACAUGUGGUUCAAUUCGACGCUACGCGUAGAACCUCACCAGGGCUUGACAUGCAGGAAGUAGUGACCCGAAAGGCAAACGACCUGUCAAGUCAGGAGCCUGCACAGGUGUUGCAUGGCUGUCGUCAGCUCGUACCGUGAGGCGUUGGGUUAAGUCCCGUAACGAGCGCAACCAUCAUCCUUAGUUGCUACUUCCGAAGCCGCAAGGCUUAGGGAGGCACUCUAAGGAGACUGCCCGCGAUAAGCGGGAGGAAGGUGGAGAUGACGUCAAGUCAGUACGGCCUAUAUGCCCUGGGCUACACACGUGUUACAAUGCCCACUACAAAGCGUUGCUAAACCGCGAGGUGGAGCUAAUCGCAAAAAAGUGGGCUCAGUUCAGAUUGGAGUCUGCAAUUCGACUCCAUGAAGCCGGAAUCGCUAGUAAUGGCGGAUCAGCUACGCCGCCGUGAAUACGUUCCCGGGCCUUGUACACACCGCCCGUCAAGCGAUGGGAGCUGGGGGUACCUGAAGUUCCGCCCUAGGCGGACCAAGGGUAAAACCGGUGACUGGCGCUAAGUCGUAACAAGGUAGCCGUACCGGAAGGUGCGGCUGGAUCACCUCCUUUCUA